GACGAACGCUGGCGGCGUGCUUAACACAUGCAAGUCGAACGGAAAGGCCUUUUCGGUGGUACUCGAGUGGCGAACGGGUGAGUAACACGUGGGUGAGCUGCCUUGCACUCUGGGUUAAGUAUGGGAAGCUGGGUCUAAUACCGGAUAGGACCGCACUCCAGCGGGUGUGGGGGAAAGUUUUUUCGGUGUAGGGUGAGCCCGGGGCCUAUCCGCUUCUUGGUGGGGUAAUGGCCUUCCAAGGCGGCGACGGGGAGCCGGACUGAGAGGUUGGUCGGCCACAUUGGGACUGGGGUACGGCCCAGACUCCUACGGGAGGCAGCAGUGGGGAAUAUUGCACAAUGGGCGGAAGCCUGAUGCAGCGACGCCGCGUGGGGGAAGACGGCCUUCGGGUUGUAAACUCCUUUCGCCAGGGACGAAGCGUUUUGUGACGGUACCUGGUGAAGAAGCACCGGCUAACUACGUG
rnacentral:rRNA from 1 species